AUCUAUUGAUACAUAGAAGUAUUUGUUUUUGUGUCAAAAAUCGCAUUUAGAAUUUGAAUGAAGAAUUCUUUGAGAUGGAGGAAGAUAUUCAACUGAAAAAAGCUUUUAAGGAAUUGGAAGAUUUAAAUGAGAAGUAUCGCAAAUCUGAUCGAAAUUUAAAAAAAGUAAAGGAAAUUAUUGAUUCCUACAAAAGAGAUCGUGAAGAUUUCGAGAAUAAAACAAAGCUAACUUUCGAAGAAAUUGAGUUACUCCAAAAACGAUUAACUGUAUGAAUACUAAUAUAAUUAAUAAAUAAAUCUUUUGGGUUUUCUCAAAUUUA